CUUGCUGUUUCAAGCUGCUCAAGGUGAAACUUCAAGAUUUACAGAUGUGGAAUUAUGUGUAGAGGUAUCUGAAAGAUAUCAAUUGCUAUAAUUCUGCUUUCUUGGGCAGGGAGGAAAAAAUAACUAUAAUCCAAUAAAAUGUUUUUCAUUCUGCUUCCUUUUCUCUGAAGGAACAAAAUACAAAAACCUUUUCAACGAAACACAUCAUCACCUUCCAUCACAAUAGAACGAAAGAAUCUCUACAUUGAGAGAUUUGCAACCGUUUGGAUAGCAGUGAAUUAUGGCCAUGACACCUGUGCAAAAGGAAAGAACAUCUCAGUUUUACCAAGCAAAGCAGGAAAGUGCUUGUCACCAUCUAACAUAAAUGCUUAUCAGAUCACAAACCAAUUGAUAAUAAAGUGGGACCUGCCCACAGCUGAUACACCAUACGAGCUGAGAUACAGAGAGGCACUCACAGAAUCUGCUCCGUGGACCCUGGUGCCUGUAGGAAGCAAUGUUUUCAAUGUCACCAUUUCAAAUUUAAAUGCUAUGUCUUCAUACAUUGUUCAGCUCAGAUGCAUAACCAAGGAUGGUCUCAACUGUGUUUGCAUUUGGGGCAAAGAGGUUUUGGUCCCUCACAAACUCAUGAACAAGCCAAGAAUAUCAUAUAAUGUAACUACACAAGUGUCUCCAGGAAGAAGAAGUGUUCUUCUGAAGUGGGAGGUAGCACAAAGCGAGAAUGUCCUUGGAUAUUAUGUUAAUGUGGAAAGAAUACCCAAUAGCUGCAGCCAACAACCAAAUCACAUCUCUCUCAAAGACAGAAUAAUUCUUGUUAAUCUCUCCAUGGCUUACUAUAGACUUAAUAUUUCUGCCUACAAUGAAGCAGGAGAAUCUCCAGGAGCUAUCUACAUUGUCCCAGAAUUCUCUGUAACAGACUUGCCUGGUCAAAUCCAUGUCAAAAGCCAGGGAGCAAAUGCAGUUGUCACAUGGACUCCAGAAUACAAACCAAAAUGUUUUGUGGUUGACUGGGGCACUAGUAAAGAGAAUAUGCAGAUGAAAAUAAUAACUACUGCUACUGAAAAUUUCACAUUAGACAAUUUUCAGCCAUAUAAGUUGUACAAAAUAAUGGUGCAUACAUCUGAUGUGUGUCAGUGUCAAAGUUUCAUA
rnacentral:lncRNA from 1 species